GGCGAUAUUCUCUCAGGAGCAUUGCCAGGACGAAUGCAGUAUUGCUGAAGUUCAUUUCUUCUAAUCCUUGUAGUUCACUUCCCCUAAUUCAUGAAGUUUACAUCUCUUGCUACUUGUUAUUUAGUUCAUCCAUUUGGUUUAGAUAUGCACUUGUUUAUUUAGUUCCUUGUGAAAGUCAAUUUUUUGUCGAAGUUCAGUUUUAUUGGUGGGAGAGCUCACUUUAUUUUUUAGAAGUUCAAUUGUUAUAGUGCAGAUAUUCAUUUCUUCCAGCAAAAAAGGUUCUAAUUCACCCACGAGGGAAAAAGUUCGCAUUUUGUUGUCACAAAGUUCACUAUUUUCAAAUCUGGAAGUUCGCAUCUGUUGCUAAUUUUUAUUGUACUUCUAUAUGGUGUGUGGUACUAACUAAAUUACCCUCAGUUCAUGUCACUUGCGGUACUUCUACAUGGUGUGUGCUCCCACACAGCGCCGCCUCGCCCUUCAACGCAGUCCACGGUGUCAAUGAUGAUCGGCAGUCCACAUUGCAUCAAACCAAGAAGUCAAUCUGAAAAGAGUUCACAUGGGCGUUGGCGAACAUCCGUCGGCGCACCUACCUCCGCAUCGGCGUUGGUGAACAUCAGUGCACACCAAGUUCCUCGUCAGGCUGAGAUGUUUUUGCAACUGACUGGCUAUGAAGUUCACAUCUCUUUUUAGGGUAAGUUCACUGCGUGAGGGGAAAGACGUUCAGUUAAACACUACAGUAGCUAAUAUGUUGUGGUACAGUUCAUCAUUGGUCAUGAUAUGCUGUUGGAUGCUGCUGAUGUAUUAGCGGUCGUGCAGUUUCCAUUGAUGCAUUAGCUGCUGUAAGCUACUAUCGAUGUUCAUGUUUGGAUUUUACCCCUUCUCGUUUGAUGUUAAUGCUUAGUUAUUU